GAGUUCUCUCUCUCUCUCUCUCUCAACCCUCUCUAAAAGCUUAUCAUUCACAGAGAUUCAGAUCGAUCUCAGUGAUUUCAUCUCAGAGCGAUUUUGAUUUCGAAGCUCCAAAACACCAUCUGCACCAUCGUCUACUAAGAUGAAUAAACUAUUUGUGCUUGGAAUGCAUGAGAAUGGCAGUGGAGAACUUAACUAGAACCAGGAUUGGCUCGUGGUCUGGGCUGUGAUGUGGAUGCUUUUCAAUAUGAUCAAGUUUCGUAAGCCUUGCACGACUUGAGAUAACAUGAUGGUAGCAAAGCAAAGCAACAACUUUGAUCCUCGUGAUGCUGCUGCUAAUUUUCCUUCAGGUAAUGGAUUUUCUAAU